rnacentral:rRNA from 1 species
ACCGAGUACUCUGCUCAUUCCCUGUGAACCUAUCUGUUGCCUCGGCAGGGAGCUCUGCUAGGCGGCGGCCCCUGGGCCUCCGCACCUGCCAAGGCCUUCAUACCAUUCAGUAGUUAUCAGAGUAAGCUUGAACAAGCAAAACAACCAAAACUUUCAACAAUGGAUCUCUUGGUUCUGGCAUCGAUGAAGAACGCAGCGAAAUGCGAUAAAUAAUGUGAAUUGCAGAAUUCAGUGAAUCAUCGAAUCUUUGAACGCACAUUGCGCCCCUUGGUAUUCCGGGGGGCAUGCCUGUUCGAGCGUCAUUACAACCCUCAAGCCUAGCUUGGUAUUGGGCUUCGCCGUUCACCCGGCGGGCCUUAAAAUUAGUGGCGGUGCCGUUGUGGCCCUGAGCGCAGUAAAUAUCCUCGCUAUAGGGACACGGUGGUUGCUUGCCAAUAACCCCCAACUUUCCAAGUUUGACCUCGGAUCAGGUAGGGAUACCCGCUGAACUUAA